rnacentral:rRNA from 1 species
UACAGAGGGUGCGAGCGUUGUCCGGAAUCACUGGGCGUAAAGGGCGCGUAGGUGGUGGCUUAAGCGUGCGGUGAAAGCUCGGGGCUCAACCCCGAGUCGGCCGUGCGAACUGGGCUCACUGGAGCAUAGUAGAGGCAGGUGGAAUUCCGGGUGUAGCGGUGGAAUGCGUAGAGAUCCGGAAGAACACCGGUGGCGAAGGCGGCCUGCUGAGCUAUGGCUGACACUGAGGCGCGACAGCGUGGGGAGCAAACAGG